CCUACGGGACGCAGCAGUGGGGAAUUUCCCGCAAUGGGCGAAAGCCUGACGGAGCAAUGCCGCGUGUGUGAAGAAGGUCUUCGGAUUGUAAAGCACUUUCGACGGGGACGAUGAUGACGGUAUCCGUAGAAGAAGCCCCGGCUAACUUCGUGCCAGCAGCCGUGGUAAUACGAAGGGGGCUAGCGUUGCUCGGAAUUACUGGGCGUAAAGCGCGCGUAGGCGGAUAGAUAAGUCAGAGGUGAAAUCACGGGACUCAACCCCGGAAUUGCCUUUGAUACUGUUUAUCUUGAGUGCAGAAGAGGUAAGUGGAAUUCCGAGUGUAGAGGUGAAAUUCGUAGAUAUUCGGAGGAACACCAGUGGCGAAGGCGGCUUACUGGUCUGCAACUGACGCUGAGGCGCGAAAGCGUGGGGAGCAAACAGGAUUAGAUACCCCUGUAGUC
rnacentral:rRNA from 1 species